UCAAACUGGAGACCAGAAAGUAAAUUCUAGCUGCAUAAACCAAUGCACUGAACUGCUUAUUGUCCCCAUUUAGAGAGGCUUGCAUGAGUAAUAAGCCUAACUGUAGCAACAGCUCCUUUCCUUUAUCCUAUGCCAUUCUGGGCAGUUGGAAGUUGGUGCACAGAGAGCCAUCUGCCUCUCUCCAUCGGUGUGUAAUCAACUAAGUCCAGGUUAAGGCGUCUGGGUGAGGUUUUUUUUUUUUUCGUUUUUUUUCCUUGGGAUUUUAAAC